rnacentral:rRNA from 1 species
UACGUAGGGGGCGAGCGUUAUCCGGAUUCACUGGGUGUAAAGGGAGCGUAGACGGCCAUGCAAGCCAGGGGUGAAAGCCCGGGGCCCAACCCCGGGACUGCCCUUGGAACUGUGCGGCUAGAGUGGGGGAGGGGCAGGCGGAAUUCCUGGUGUAGCGGUGAAAUGCGUAGAUAUCAGGAGGAACACUGGCGGCGAAGGCGGCCUGCUGGACCGCGACUGACGUUGAGGCUCGAAAGCGUGGGGAGCGAACAGG